ACACUGCCUAGCAUAUAUAUUAAAAUUGGAUGAUACAAAGUAGAUUAGCAUGCCUCCUGUGAAAGGAUGACAUGCUGAAAUGGAAAUUCGUGCUCCAUAUUUUU
rnacentral:snRNA from 1 species